UACGAAGGGGGCGAGCGUUGUCCGGAUUUAUUGGGCGUAAAGAGCUCGUAGGCGGCUAAGUAAGUCGGGUGUGAAAACUCCAGGCUCAACCUGGAGACGCCACCCGAUACUGCUUUGGCUAGAGUCCGGUAGGGGAGCAUGGAAUUCCUGGUGUAGCGGUGAAAUGCGCAGAUAUCAGGAGGAACACCAGUGGCGAAGGCGGUGCUCUGGGCCGGAACUGACGCUGAGGAGCGAAAGCGUGGGGAGCAAACAGG
rnacentral:rRNA from 1 species